CCUACGGGUGGCUGCAGUAGGGAAUAUUGCUCAAUGGGGGAAACCCUGAAGCAGCAACGCCGCGUGGAGGAUGAAGGUUUUCGGAUUGUAAACUCCUUUUGUUAGAGAAGAUAAUGACGGUAUCUAACGAAUAAGCAACGGCUAACUCCGUGCCAGCAGCCGCGGUCAUACGGAGGGUGCAAGCGUUACUCGGAAUCACUGGGGUUAAAGGGCGAGGAGGCGGGUUUGCAAGUUAGAUGUGAAAUCCUAUGGCUUAACCAUAGAACUGCAUUUGAAACUGUUAUUCUAGAGUAUGGGAGAGGUAUGUGGAAUUCUUGGUGUAGGGGUGAAAUGCGUAGAUAUCAAGAAGAAUACUCAUUGCGAAGGCAACCUACUAGAACAUAACUGACGCUGAUGCGCGAAAGCGUGGGGAGCAAACAGGAUUAGAUACCCUAGUAGUC
rnacentral:rRNA from 1 species